rnacentral:miRNA from 12 species
AGUUGUACCAGGUGUUCCAUUU